rnacentral:tRNA from 2 species
GGGCCGUUAGCUCAAUUGGUAGAGCAACUGACUCUUAAUCAGUAGGUCCUCGGUUCGAUCCCGAGACGGCCCA